rnacentral:misc_RNA from 1 species
CUGUGGGGUGACAUCUAGCGGGAAGAAUGACAAGCAGGAAGUGUUAAAAGACGAGGAUAAAUAUUUUGUCCUAGUGUUUCUUGUGUGCUUGGAAAGAAAGGACGGACGGGGACUUAUCAAAGUUUUCAGGUGUGUAUCGAAACUUGUUUGUACAGAACUGCUGCUUUCUCGGUAAGACAAAUUUUGUUAGCAUGGAUAUUAUAGUGGACGAUAAAAUACUUGCAAGAAGUGUGUGAAGUGUGUGACAGUCCAUCAAAUCCUGAGCUUUUCCUUGUACAAUGAACGAACGUCAGCCGGCCAUGAUGAGAUACUCUGUGGUGAUAGCCUUGGCUUUGCUGUGCCAAACGUGCCAUCUGUGCGUGGGCGUGGAGCCCGAGAAUCCCGAGGACGUCAUCACCACGACCCCUCAAGAGGAAAUCAUCAUCACCACUCAAAAAGACAUCACCACAUCACAAAAAGUAGUCAGCAUAUCUCCGUGUAACAGCAAGCAGCAUGCCAGGACAACUGUGGUGGACCCGCUGCUGGAGAAUGACAGAGUCCCGACGUGCGCAGAUCAGUUGGUGGUGUGUUCUUGUCCAGAACCAACUCCUGACGGCUGCCGGCGCUUCCUUUCCGAUGCCUACAUUGACAGUAAAAAUAGUGAUUUCAAGAACAUUAGGGUUCCCGUGGCUGACUUGAGAGUGGCUGUGCAUAACGUGACCUGCCAGAAAAAGGACCAUCGCUUCAUGACUUAUGGUGAAGGGAAAUUUUACUGGCGGGAAUACGGUGACGUUGUCCUCGUGGAUGCCGGUGACAUGACUGAUCUCCGCGUCAACGAUUACUGCGCCGAUCUGCGCCGCGACUUGACUUGGAACAUGAAGAUAUGUGUUGCCCCGCCUUCGGUACCCAAAUGCUGCCCCAGCGGACAGGCACUGAAGGACGGAAUGUGUCAGGACGCUACUACCCUUGCCAUUCUUGCACCUCCCAUGUACAUAAACUUGGAGGAAAAGUCAAUACAUUUCCCGGUUAUUAAGAAUCACUAUAACCCCUUGAAUUGCACUUCAGAUCCUCUGCUAUCGAUACCGUUAGCUCCGAAACAAUCUUAUUUAUUAUCAGUUCCAACAGGACUCAUUCACGUCUGGAACCCAGCAGACAGUCAUGUUGAGAAUCACUUCACUUAUUCUCCUAACAUUUGCAUUGAUGGCUACGUGAACUCCAACGGAUCCGAGACUUACUCCGUAAAUUUUUGCUACUCCCAUCCACACCAGCAGCGUAAAAACUGUGAAGGACAUAUUUGCGUGCGGAAGUGUUGCCCUGAUGGCGAGGAAAUGAGCCGGUUACUGAAGCGGUGUGUUCCCUCAAACUUCAAAAAGUUUAAGCCUGUCUUCACCAAUCCUCCCAACGAUUACAAAAUAGUGCAUGGUAGGCCAAAAUGUGAUUUUGAAACAGAGUUGGACGAACCCAGUAUUGACAGUGAAGGUCAUUAUCACUUCGAGGACAAUAUUUUGUCGGAGUCGAAAUAUUGUGUGGAUAAGUUUAAUGAUGGGCGGGGUAAUAUUAAAGACAUGGCAAUAGUGUGCGUCAACAAUGAAAUGAGACUGUGGCUCAGGAUACGAAAAACUGCAUUCCCGAUAUUUCAAUUUAUCUCUUUCCUAUUCCUGCUCCUGACGAUGGGCUGUUACUGCGUGGUUCCCGAAUUGGUUAAUGGUGGCGGGUGGUAUCAGCUGUUCCACGUCUUCUCCCUCAUGGUGGCCUACGCGACCAUGUUCGCGCAGAAUAUGUUCAACAAGAAUUGGGAGACUAAUACAUGUUUUAUUAUGGGAAUUCUGCUUCAGUUUAGUUUCCUAUCCACUUUCUUCUGGCUGAACGUGCUGUGCUUUGAGGUGUGGAGAAAAAUAAGGAGCCUUGAUAACAAGUUCCGUCCAGCCUCAAUCAUUCCCAUCUGGGUCUACGUGAUCUACGCCUUUGGGACGCCAGUUGCGAUCGUGAUCAUAACGGUGUGCAUGCACUUCUUCGCCCCUGAAGGUGUGCCUGGAGUGGUGAAGCCUGACAUUGCACGGAACAAGUGUUUCUUCGAAGAUCGCUCAAGACUCUUCCUGUAUUUUUAUGGACCCGUUGCCUUCCUAUUUGCUCUCAACAUUAUCUUCAUUACCCACACUUCUUGGACCUAUAGGAUGAUAGAAAAAAAUGUCUCCGUGCUGAAGAAAGCCACUUCGCCAAGCGUAUCAACUGAACAGAUUCACCGCAAACGCGACUACAUCUCAGAUUUCAAGCAACAGUCCUCUCUGCUCUUCCUGAUGUCGCUGUGCUGGGUAACAGAAAUUUUGUCUUGGUUUAUUUCACCUCUUGAAUUGUGGUGAGUGGAAAUGGCAUUUAUUUUGAAUUGGAUUUCUAUCAUUGCACCAAGACGAUGUAAAGAUGAACACAAGUUUAAAGUAUAAGCCACAUAGAUAACCACGGAAGACCAAACAGCUAAAGGAUAGUGAGUGAAUAUGAUAGAUAGAUGCAGUGAGUAUAACCGGAAAACCUCCAGUGAAAUACGCUCCUGCAGCGUUGAAGCAUAUGAGAGGAAGGACUGGAAGGAGAAUGCAAGGACAAGAGGCAAAUGGAAACUUAAGUUGCGACCAUUCCCUGAAGAGAGUGGGUGUUGUGCGGAGACAGAUUGGGCUUUAACAGAUACGCUGAACACGCUGCAAGGUUUCUUUCUAUUUGUAAUUUUUAUUGCAAAUAGAAGCAAACGUAAACGCCUGAAGAAGAAGUUUCCACUGGUUUUCAAGUUUUGGGAUCAGAUUGGGAAAGUCCUUCG